GACGAACGCUGGCGGCGUGCUUAACACAUGCAAGGCGAACGGAAAGGCCCUGCUUUUGUGGGGUGCGCGAGUGGCGAACGGGUGAGUAACACGUGAGUAACCUGCCCUUGACGUUGGGAUAACUUCAGGUAACUGGGGCUAAUACCGGAUAGGAGCUCCUGCUGCAUGGUGGGGGUUGGAAAGUUUCGGCGGUUGGGGAUGGACUCGCGGCUUAUCAGCUUGUUGGUGGGGUAGUGGCUUACCAAGGCUUUGACGGGUAGCCGGCCUGAGAGGGUGACCGGCCACAUUGGGACUGAGAUACGGCCCAGACCCGUCCGGGAGGCAGAAGUGGGGAAUAUUGCAAGAUGGGCGGAACCCUGAUGCAGCAACGCCGCGUGCCGGAUGACGGCCUUCGGGUUGUAUACCGCUUUCGCCUGUGCCGCAGCGUGAGUGACGGUCAUGGGUCAAGAAGCACCGGCUAACUACGUG
rnacentral:rRNA from 1 species